rnacentral:lncRNA from 1 species
CUCUCUCGCCCCUCUCUCUUGCUCUCUUUCUGCUCUCUCUCUCUCCCCUCUCAUUCUCUUUUUGAAGGAUAGUGUUAAUGAUGUCGGGCAUGUGUGAGGUAGUGAGGCAGUGAGUGAGAAAGAGCGAGAGAGAGCGAGAGAGAGAAAGAGAGAAAACGAGAGACGGAGAGGGAGGGAGGGAAAGUGAGAGAGAACGUAUGAGACAGAGAGGAUACAUGCAAGAAGAAAAUCAAGGAAAACUGAGGAUUUGUUGACGGGAAACGGACUUAACUAAAACACUGAAAAGGUGGAAAAGCAAGAGGCGGCCGACUUUCUCAUUCCUCCUCCUCCUCCUCCUCCUCCUCUCCCUCCGCCUCCUCCUCCUCUCUCUCUGUCUCUAUCUGUCUCUCUGGCUGAUACAGCAGAGAAGUGGGCCUCUUGCUUUAAAUUAUUACAGCUGUACAGGCAAAUUAAUGGAUGAUAUUUCAAAAUUUAUUUGGAAAAGCAUUUUUUCAUCUCCUGCCUUUCAACACAGAUGCAUGAAGACGAGAGCGGGGGACCUGGGAUUCAGUUUUAUUUUUUCCUUUCUCCUUUCUUCCAAUUUUGCAUGUGUUUCUGUUCUGCACUGAGAGAGAGAGGGAGAGAGACAGAGUGAGAGAGAGAGAGAGAGAGAGAGAGAGAGAGAGAGAGAGGGGGGUGAAAGAAAAAAAUGUAUCAAUGUUAGCGAGGGAAGCAGAACAGCAGCAACAUCCAUUGAUGCAUUUUGUCUUUUAAUUAGUUUGGAUAUUUUUUUUGCUCUUGUGACAUAUAUGACAACAAACUAUACAUUUUCUUCUAACCUGAACUGGAUAUGAAAUAGGGACAUACAACCAAGUUAACAGCAGCGAAACAAAGCAACAAGGGACAAGGGUUGCUGCCUCCUCAUUCCGAACCAGACGUGGGUGAGUUGAUUGAAGCCGUUUUCCUGCCACUCUCUUGUUUAUUUCUCAAUCUAUAUUUCCUAAUCUAUGGCUGUAGAUUGAGACUGCCUACCUCCCUGUCUCAAAAUGGUCGUGGUAGGUUCAGUGAGGAUUCAUAUUCAGCCAUCCUCAUGCACAUCCAGAUCAUUGCUCUGCCCUCCUUAUAUUGAAAUGAAAUGAGUCACGUGAAUGUUUCAAGAUAAACUGACUUUGUGUUCUUUUCCUUGGGUAUUCUGUAUAGUAGUUUUGAAUCGUUGGCUGUUGUGCGUACUGCUGGCUGCUGAACCAGGAUUUUGUCUGGCCAUCCCUUAAUAACUAGCAGCUGCAGCCUGGGAAUAGAGUGCAUGGGAGCUUAAGGAACCGAAGGCUAGCGUUGGGUUUACCUGGAGCCAGGAGCAUUUUUCAAAGUGCUGUAUUGUUUUGUCCAGGGGGUUGGGAGAGAGAGAGAGAGAGAGAGAGAGAGAGAGAGAGAGAGAGAGAGAGAGAGAGAGAGAGAGAGAGAGAGAGAGACAUAGAGAGAGAGAGAGAGAGAGAGAGACAUAGAGAGAGAGACAGAGAGAGAGAGACAGAGAGAGAGAGACAGAGAGAGAGAGACAGAGAGAGAUAGGGAGAGGGACAGAGAGAGAGAGAUAGGGAGAGAGAGUGUCGGUGGGAGGCGGGGGUCUCCAGAGAGAGGGAGGGGGAGGGGGAGAUUGGUCGAUGUUGUGUCUGGCUUACGGUUGCACUUGUUGUAUGUUACAGGCAGAGAGGCAGAGAAGGGGGGGGGAUGCGUUGCAUAAAUACCUCAUGGAAGGAAGCCUUUAUUGUCAUGAAUAUCGUGUGUUUGUUUCUAGUCUAUUUGGUACUCUCAAGCCAGCAUGAUUAAUUCAAAUCACAGUCUGUCUGGGAGUAGAAAUAGUACAACUAUAAAAUGUGCCUCUCGCAAUCCCUGAGACCCUAACUUGUGACGUUGUGCUCUCAUGUCCACGGGUUAGGCUCUCGGGAGCUGGGAGUGGUGCGCUGUCGUCCCGUCCGUGGCUCUCUCUGCAAGACAAAGGCGUUUCAGACUGUCAAACGUACAUAGACACUAUAUUGUCGGAGAAGGAAAACCGUCUGGAAAGAAAAGGGGGAAAAGGUUAGCUGGAAUCAGGCGGCAGUGUGUGUGGGGGGGGGUUGAAGGAAUGCCGGCUCGAGGGUCAUGUGACACAAUGGUGGGUUGAAAUCAGCUGAGGAAUCUUUGUGGUGGGGUGGAAGAUGGAGGGGGGAGCUUGCGUUACCAAGCUAACAUUACUAAUCCUGGACUUUAAGCUAACGUUACCAAUCCUGGACAUGUGAACGUUUAAGCUAACGUUACCAAUCCUGGACAUGUGAACGUUUAAGCUAACGUUACCAAUCCUGGACAUGUGAACGUUUAAGCUAACGUUACCAAUCCUGGACAUGUGAACGUUUAAGCUAACGUUACCAAUCCUGGACAUGUGAACGUUUAAGCUAAUGUUACCAAUCCUGGACAUGUCUCUGAGGCCCACAAAAAAAUAAAACUAGUCACUGGCCCAGUCUGUUCUGUUAUUCCUUUGUCUUUCCUCUGACAACUGGGAAAGUGGUUUCUUUCUGUUUCUGUCCAUGUCUUAUUCUGUCUUGAGAGCAGCACAAAGUACUGUGGAGAGCGUGAAGGUAUAACAGCUCGGUAUACUUGUGUUUGACCUCACUGAGCCCUCGUCUUCAUGCACACAUGCGUGCACACACACAUACACACACAAGGUAGCGUGUGCGUAGACAGUACGUUCGUAGGGGUUUGUAUAUCAGAGAGCCUGUAUGUUAGCAGUUAUUACCAUGUCACAUUGAGCCUGUAUGUUAGCAGUUAUUACCAUGUCACAUUGAGUCUGUAUGUUAGCAGUUAUUACCAUGUCACGGAUGUAGUGUAACCUUUUUUAACGGAGCAGCUAGCAAAUUCUAGUGUAUCUGCUAAACUACUUAAAAUAACUGCAAGUCUGUUGGGUUUGAACUUGCUUUAGGGACAGCAAACUGAACAGCUCACACCCAGCUUCUGAUAGCAACGGGGCUAACAUGCUUAGGGCUAACAUACAUGUUUUGUUUGCAUUCUGCUCUUGACUAUUUACAGUCCUCAUUAACAUGAUCUAUUGUCAACAAUCCUUGCUGUGAUUAGGCUAGCAUCAUGCUAAUAAAAGCACUGUGGAUUCUCCCUCCCUCUGUGAGCCAUGCUGGAAGGUAGAUAAACUGUGUUUCAGAACAGCGACUCCAUUAUAGCCUCGGCCCAUCCCCUCAUUGCUGCACUGGCCCAUCCCCUCAUUGCUGCACUGGCCCAUCCCCUCAUUGCUGCGCUGCAGGAGUACGUUCCUCCUCUCACUGCUAACCUCUUUGUGCUGGCUGUGUAAAAUGGCACCCUUUCAGGACUCCUCACCAGUGUGACAGUAUGCGUAAGGACUUAGUGCUCCAGAACAGUAACCCUCAGUCUAAUAUCCCUACACCGGCCGACGUGUUUAAACGUGUGAUUAUUUCUUCUGUACUACUAUAACUAACUAUAGCAUAGAUGCAAUAACAGCAGCUGCCCCUGUGAGAUGCGUGUGUGUGUGUGUGUGUGUGUGUGUGUGUGUGUGUGUGUGUGUGUGUGUGUGUGUGUGUGUGUGUGUGUGUGUGUGUGUGUGUGUGUGUGUGUGUGUGUGUGUUGCUCUGGUCUGGUGUGUCGUUAACUGGUAGCGCACUGCAGUGUGGGCAAUCCUGGGUAACAAGCAGCCUCAUCCAUGUACCAUGUGGCACACAUAGCUCAGCCCUGGGUCAGACAUUCUCACCACUAACUUAUUAACAGAGAAAGUCUAGCAUGUUUUAAAUCUGCAUUGUUGAUUCACACACAAUGGUUCAGUGUGGUUCGAGGGGAGAGUGAAAUGUGUGAAAUGUAGCAUUUCUUUUUGCUGCAACACUGUGUUGGGGUUAUAGUGCUAUAAGGUGUAGAUUUGCACUGUAAAGGUCUAGUUCAGGUAACUGUUUCGUCUUUGAGGGUUUUUCUGGGUCACUCGACGGACUAAACUGGGUUUCUAAUAGAAAUCUUUGCUCGUCUGUUCUUGCUAGAGCGCUCUCCUUGUAUAAAAAAGGAAACCUAUUUCGAGCCUCCACCUCAGCCCUGUGACAAACAGUUUUAUUUGUUCAGCUUGGUAAGCAAACAGCAGCGCUGAGGCGUCUCGCCCCGAUCUGAAGCGUUGCAGUGCAGAGAGACAGAGCUGUCUGGCUACAGCUCCAUUGUUGGAUUGUGUCUCGCUCAGCCUCACAGCCACAGCAUGCUCACGUUGCUUCCCUGGCCCUGCACCAGAGCAGGCGGACAUGCAUGUGCGCGCAGGCACACACACACACAGGCACGCACACACACACACACACACACACACACACACACACACACACACACACACACACACACACACACACACACACACACACACACACACACACACACACACACACACACACACACACACACACACACACACAGGCGUCUGGGGCCAGAGCCUUCUUAAAAACCGAAAGGUUGCAAGUUCGAAUCCCUGAGCUGACAAGGUACAAAUCUGUCGAUCUGCCCCUGAACAGGCAGUUAACCCACUGUUCCUAGGCCGUCAUUGAAAAUAAGAAUUUGUUCUUAACUGACUUGCCUGGUUAAAUAAAGGUAAAAAAAAAAAGAAAAAGAAGGUGGACUGGUUAGUUAGACAUGUGGUGUGAACUGUGUGUGUGUGUGUGUGUGUGUGUGUGUGUAUGUGUGUGUGUGUGUGUGUGUGUGUGUGUGUGUGUGUGUGUGUGUGUGUGUGUGUGUGUGUGUGUGUGUGUGUGUGAACAAAGGGUUCUGCACUAGGGCUGUUCAGGUUGAGCAGACAAUGUCGAUGGCUCCUUUGCACCUUGCCUGGUGACUCCCAUGAUGCCGGGCAGAGCAUACUGGUACCGAGUAGCGUGUACUGGGCCAGGAGUGUCCUUUGUGCCAGCAUCUUUGCUCCAGAACACGCGGUAGCAGGAGUUUACAGACCCCAUUCCGCAGUUUCCGCCACUCCCUGGAACACCCUUCCCUUGCUGCAGUUCUACUUGAAGGCUAUUGGUGCAGAGCAUUAUGGGUACUGUUGUGCAUCAUGCUACUCAACUCUCUGCACAGGCCAGUGUGGAAGUCAAUAAUCGGAUAGUGUGAGGAGAGUUGAUGAUCUGUGCUGUAAAGCACUUGUGGGUAGUCUGUGAGCUGAAACAACAGGUAUACGAGACAAGAUUGCGCAGGCAGCCACAAAAGGAUCCUUGCACUGCACUAGAAUAAGUGUGACCAAGUUUCAAGUUUUAUUAGUCGUAUGUACAGGAUACACAGUGAGAAUGGCAGAAUGGUGAACUUACUAAAUGAAAUGAGAGGUUGACUGUGUGAUAUUAGGUUGCUUCUUGUGUAAAUAUUUUCUGUCUGGAUUUUAACACUCCAAAAUAUACCGUAACCCUAAAGAUCUUUAUUUAGGGUCCAAUGAAAUGCUUACUUGCAGGUUCCUUCUGGACAAUGCAACAAGAAUAAGAAAUAAUACAAGAUAAGAAUACGAACAUAAAGUAAAUGGUUCAGUAGAAUAUAAUGAAAUGUUUAGCAUAAGUAUAAUAACAAAGCUAUGAACAAUAAAACCAGUUCAAUCAAAUUGUGGCAAAUGACUACUACAGUUUUGUGAUAUGAAGUGGAGUGGAUCCUGAGGAUGAACAUUUUGGACGGAGGUUUUUGUUCUUGGACUAACAAGUGGGCUUGUCUGGCAGCAGCAGCUUAGAGUAUCCUCACAGUGCUCUCUCGCUCUGCAAUCAGGACAGCUCAGACGUAGAAUCACUCUGUUGGAGCCCACACUCAAAGAAUUACAGCAGGGAACCUUUCUCAGCGUCCCAUUUAAGUGAAGGGUAAUUACAUUAAGGCCCUUUGUACACGAGAAGAAGACAUGAUGGUCUGCAAGCAGAGAGAUCAGGGCUCAGAGUCGAACACUGGGCAAUUUAUUGUCAAUUUGGACCAUUUGAAAAACCAUGGAUGGAGCUAAUGUCCAAACUCUAUCCAGGUUGUUUUUCAUUUUACCUUUCUUAAACUAGGCAAGUUAGUUAAGAACAAAUUCUUAUUUUCAAUGACAGCCUAGGAACAGUGGGUUAACUGCCUUGUUCAGGGGCAGAACGACAUUUGUACCUUGUCAGCUCAGGGAUUCAAUCUUGCAACCUUUCGGUUACUUGUCCAACGCUCUAACCACAAGGCUACCUGCCCCGCUGUGUCUCAGUAACACUGAUGUGCUGAACAUUUUACAGGGUUUGGGUUAGCUCAAUAAAUGAUCUCCCUCCAUUUACUGCAGUUGCUAUUCCAAUGAAAUAAGUGAGACUUUAUACCACACAUUAAAUAAGAGUCUUUUAUAUAUCUACACAUAGUGACACAUUAGAUCCGCCAUAUAAAACAGGUUGAACAUCCUUCUCAAGGCCCUGCCAGAGAAUAGAGCAUCAUUCAUUUAGCUAAUAACAUCACUGGUCAUGUCAUUAAGACGACACAUUAUUCUCUCGUUAGACGGAAAGCAAUCAGUCUUUGAGCUGCUUUACUUGAUCGUCUGGGUCUGAACAUUCCAGUAGGCUGGCAACAAACAGAAGCGGCAAUUGGGUCUGAAGGAUGAUUUGCUGCAGCAUGUGCAAUACUUGGCCACUUGAAGAGAUGUGUGCCUGCUGCAAAUGCUGGUGACACUUUACAUAUACCUGCUGUUAACAUAUGCACACUGUAACAUCGGGACCAGAGAAGCCAAGAGUCUGUCUAUCUUUCUCACUAUUUUUAAUGACAUGCUCUCUCUGUCUCUCUCCCUCUCUCUUUCACUGUCUCUAUCUAUCUCUCUCUCAAUGUAUGCUCACACAUACGGACACACACACACACACACACACACACACACACACACACACACACACACACACACACACGGCCCAGCUGCGUAGCUAGUUUAUUAGAUAAUGAGCAGGUAGGAGAGACAGUGCUGUCUACUUGGCCAUCUGUGAGGGCGCCUCCCUGUCCAGGUUAAAGGAGCUUUAGGAUUAAACACUCCCACCACGCUAUGUGGAUUAAUCACUACUCAGGACUAACCUAAUUAAUCCAAGAGGGAUAUGUCACUAGUGUAUGCCAACAGUCGCCACAGUCGCUUACAGUCUCCUCUAACCUCAUAGCACCCCAUUCCUUUGGUAGUGCACUACUUUUAGCCAGAGCGCACCCUAUUCACUUCAUAGUGCACUACUUUUACCUAGAGCGCUCCCUAUUCCCCAUGCAGUCCCCUACUUCUGGCCAGAGUCCAGCCUGUUUCCUAUGUAGUGCACUCUAAAGGCUCUGGCCAAAAGUGGUGCACUGUAUAGGGACUAAGGUGCCAUUUCAGAUAUGGCCUGUUUCCUAUGUGAUGUGGAGGAAGAGGGAAGGCUUUCCAUCCUCUUACUGCGUCUGAAGUCACACAGUGUCUCCUUAGACAUAUUCUGGUCAAGCCAGGUUCAUCAACACCGAGAGGAGCCAUGGAAAUCCCCCUGCUUAGAGUCAAGAGAAAGAUGGAGAACGAUUCUCUUUGUUCUCUUUUUUUAUUUCUCUCUCUCUCUCUCUUUGUCUUUCUCUCCUACUCUCUUUCUCUCUCUCUCUCUCUCUAGUUCUCUCCCUUUCUUUCUCCUAUUUCUCACAGGCACACAUACAGACACAAACACACAGACAGAAAAAUGAACACAGGCACACAUACAGACACAAACACACAGACAGAAAAAUGAACACAGGCACACAUACAGACACAAACACACAGACAGAAAAAUGAACACAGGCACACCAACCAACUCUCUCCAGUCUCUCAGGUUUAACCCUGAGAGGGGAAUGUGUAAUUAUUGUGAUUAAUAGAUAAUCUAUGAUAGGCUUUAUCUUUGGAUUCAUCUACACAGGCGCAUUCUCCUAUGGCUAUCCCAAAGAAUAACCCUUCUGUACAAUAUAGCCACUAUCUUGCACAGUAUAAGCACUCCUUCUAUUCGUGAUCUGAACCACUGUUAUAUCUGUUGCAAGUUGAUCUCAAACCACAUCCUUUAUCAUAGAAACAAGUCUGGUUUAGAUUAUCAACCAGUCUGAAUUGCCCUUAUUCAAAUCUUUCUGAUAACAUUUUUUGGUCAUUCCCAACAUUUCUUCAAUUGAUCUGAUAAACUAUUCAUGUGAAGGUCUGUUUAUACACGCUAAUAAACCAUUAUCAGGUACUUUGUUAACCAACAUAUCAUGUGUGUGUAAACCAUGAACGGUAACACUGCUUACAGCCAGUGGGUAUAAUGCUUCAUUACUUGUUAUAAGAAUAAUGAGCCCUAGGGCGCUGUUUUGCGUAGUCAUGUGACAUGCCUGGAUUUUAAACUUUAUUUAAAGCUUUUUCAUCAAACUGUCCCAUUUUCUUUUUAUGUCAGAUGAUCUGGAUAAUAUCUUAUUAUAAUACUUACAAUAUGUUAUGUGUUUAUAUGCUGUAAAAAAAAGGGUCCGACUAAAAAUAGCUGUUAUUUAGUUGGAAUCAUUAUGAUAUUAUAAUAACACAAAGGAGUUAUAGUCUUAACCAUUUACAAAUAGCUGCUAUUUAGUUGGAAUCAUUAUGAUAUUAUAAUAACACAAAGGAGUUAUAGUCUUAACCAUUUACAAAUAGCUGUUAUUUAUUUGGAAUCAUUAUGAUAUUAUAAUAACACAAAGGAGUUAUAGUCUUAACCAUUUAAAAAUAGCUGUUAUUUAGUUGGAAUCAUUAUGAUAUUAUAAUAACACAAAGGCGUUAUAGUCUUAACCAUUUACAAAUAGCUGCUAUUUAGUUGGAAUCAUUAUGAUAUUAUAAUAACACAAAGGAGUUAUAGUCUUAACCAUUUACAAAUAGCUGUUAUUUAGUCAGAAUCAUUAUGAUAUUAUAAUAACACAAAGGAGUUAUAGUCUUAACCAUUUACAAAUAGCUGCUAUUUAGUUGGAAUCAUUAUGAUAUUAUAAUAACACAAAGGAGUUAUAGUCUUAACCAUUUAAAAAUAGCUGUUAUUUAGUUGGAAUCAUUAUGAUAUUAUAAUAACACAAAGGAGUUAUAGUCUUAACCAUUUAAAAAUAGCUGUUAUUUAGUUGGAAUCAUUAUGAUAUUAUAAUAACACAAAGGAGUUAUAGUCUUAACCAUUUAAAAAUAGCUGUUAUUUAGUUGGAAUCAUUAUGAUAUUAUAAUAACACAAAGGCGUUAUAGUCUUAACCAUUUACAAAUAGCUGCUAUUUAGUUGGAAUCAUUAUGAUAUUAUAAUAACACAAAGGAGUUAUAGUCUUAACCAUUUAAAAAUAGCUUACUAAUGUUUAAUAAACAAUGACCUACAAAAAUGUUCAGCAAAUCAUUAACUGGUGAUUUAUAAAUGAUCUAUAAAUGGCUUAUAAAUUAACACUAUUAUAAAGCGUUACCAUCAUUUGCCCAGCAAAGAAUAACCAAAUUCCCCUUUUUUGAUGAAAAAGAAAGCAAGCUGUUUAUUAAUUACAAUGUGUAAUGAGCGUCUCCUGUGUUACUGUGGGUCUUCUGUCAGUCAGAUAGUGAACAUACAGAAUGUGUAAUGAACGUCUCCUGUGUUACUGUGGGUCUUCUGUCAGUCAGAUAGUGAACAUACAGAAUGUGUAAUGAACGUCUCCUGUGUUACUGUGGGUCUUCUGUCAGUCAGAUAGUGAACAUACAGAAUGUGUAAUGAACGUCUCCUGUGUUACUGUGGGUCUUCUGUCAGUCAGAUAGUGAACAGGCAGAAUGUGUAAUGAGCGUCUCCUGUGUUACUGUGGGUCUUCUGUCAGUCAGAUAGUGAACAUACAGAAAAAAAGACAUUUAAAAAAUUCAUGUUAAAUAAUCUAUUAUAACUAGCUUUUAGAUCAAAUCAAAUGUAUUUAUUUACUACUAUGAGUGGUUAAAUAUGGAGGCGUAAGCUACAAAAUGUACCUUAUGAUACUGUUUAGUUGGUACGGCUGUUUUUUAAUCUGCUGCUGUGCUUUUGUUACAUAGUUUUUCCAUGUAGAAUUAAUAAGAGUUGGCAAGUGGCCCUUUUUCUCAGUCCUUUAAAAAUAAAUCCCACAUGCCACGCCAAUGGUGAGAACAAGGUUUUGACAUCUCUGUCUCACACAUAUUAUGUGUGAGUGGGCGCUUUUACAAGAACUGUCAAAGUUAACAUUUACGUUGUUUUGCAGACGCUCUUAUCAAGAGCAACUAGGGUUAAGUGCCUUGCUCAAGGGCGCACAUCAACAGACUUUUCACUUAGUCAGCUUGGGGAUUCAAACCAGCAACCUUUUAGUUACUGGCCCAAUGCGCUUAACCGUUAGGCUACCUGCUGCUCUAACGCGUUAAUAACGGCUGAUAUCUUUAAUGCCAUUCAAUUCUUUGACGUCGUUAAUCACAUCUCCAUUUCUUCACCGCACAGACCAUUUUAAGCACACGCGUUUCUGCAUGGACCCCUUUAAGUGCAACACACAACACGCUCUGUGCUGUAGCUGUCUGUCUCUAUUGUGUUGCUCAAACAUCCACUAGCUUCUUGAUUCAACUAACUUCACACAAUUGAUUUAAUCAGAACAAGACAUCCAUUCCAUGCAUUAACUGUUUUUGUUGUUAUCUCAGGUUAAAAAGAUUUAAACAAAUUAUCCCAAUUCUAAUAGCAGCUUGUGACUAGUUCAUGUUGAAGAACAUGGAUCAGUAGCCUAGGAAAGAUCUAAUAGCUGUAUUAUAUUUGACAUGAACUAAGACCUGGCUGAUCUGUUGUUAUUGUCUUCUGGGUUUAAAUGCUCUUUGUUCUUUGUAUCCAUAGACCCAGUCGGUACUAGAUGUGGUGACCCCAUCUGGUGAAAAAAACCUGUGGUUACCCCAUUGGCUAACUGCAAAAACUGUGCUCACAGCAAAACAGAAAUGUGCUCAUUCCUAGUCAGUAAAAGAUAGAAAGUCGCCUGUGGGGAAUACAACCUGUAGUUACCUAGGUUACCCCAUUGGCUCACAGAAAAACUUGACCUUUUUCAAACGCAAUUUUCUUGUUGUCUGCUUGUUUUAGUCAAUUACAUAACUACAUUUAAGAAAAGUACAACAUGUCUAAAGAUGACUUUUCAACAUUACCUGCUCCUGAGCGUUCUCACUACUUAGAAAAACAUAAUAUUGUAGGCCUUCCCUCAUGCCUCUUUUCAUAACGAUGCUAACAGACACUUGAGUGAGUGAGUGCUAGCUAUCUACUGACCGGAACAUUAAGCUAGCUAAGACCAACAACACAAACAAACAGACUAUACAGCUACAAGUAGUGAGUGGAGUUACAAACAGACAGUACUAAACAAGUUAAAUGUCUUACCUGUGAUGACAUUUUUUCCACACACAAAGCUACGUGUAGCCUGAAGUGUGUGUGUGUGCACGCAAGUGUUAAACUUCAAGAACAUUGAUAAGAGGGAGUAGGCCUACUUAAACAUUGGGAGCAUUAAUAGCUGUAUGUUACAGUGACUUUUGUGUUGUUUAUGGUGAAAAUGCUAUUUAAACAUUCUGAUGAAGAUCAUUUUGUGUUGUUUAUGGUGAAAAUGCUAUUUAAACAUUCUGAUGAAGAUCAUUUUGUGUUGUUUAUGGUGAAAAUGCUAUUUAAACAUUCUGAUGUGGAUCCCUUUGUGUUGUUUAUGGUGAAAAUGCUAUUUAAACAUUCUGAUGAAGAUCAUUUUGUGUUGUUUAUGGUGAAAAUGCUAUUUAAACAUUCUGAUGUGGAUCCUUUUGUGUUGUUUAUGGUGAAAAUGCUAUUUAAACAUUCUGAUGUGGAUCCUUUUGUGUUGUUUAUGGUGAAAAUGCUAUUUAAACAUUCUGAUGUGGAUCCUUUUGUGUUGUUUAUGGUGAAAAUGCUAUUUAAACAUUCUGAUGUGGAUCCCUUUGUGUUGUUUAUGGUGAAAAUGCUAUUUAAACAUUCUGAUGAAGAUCAUUUUGUGUUGUUUAUGGUGAAAAUGCUAUUUAAACAUUCUGAUGUGGAUCCCUUUGUGUUGUUUAUGGUGAAAAUGCUAUUUAAACAUUCUGAUGAAGAUCAUUUUGUGUUGUUUAUGGUGAAAAUGCUAUUUAAACAUUCUGAUGUGGAUCCCUUUGUGUUGUUUAUGGUGAAAAUGCUAUUUAAACAUUCUGAUGUGGAUCCCUUUGUGUUGUUUAUGGUGAAAAUGCUAUUUAAACAUUCUGAUGUGGAUCCUUUUGUGUUGUUUAUGGUGCCAUUAAAAUCCUCUGAUGCAGAUUAUUUUAUGUUUCUUUCCCUUACAAUCAAAACAUAGCAUGCCUAUAACUCAAUGCACUGCUUUUUAAAUGGAAAAUUGUUUAUUUAGGGACAAAUUUGGGCAAAUUCUAAAUUGCAAUUAAGGGAUGCCAUUAAGUUAAUUCAUUAUUUUAAUCGUUUGACAGCACUAGUUUAUACUGUACCCUAGUGAGUUAGGAGAGGGGUUGACUAAUUUAAAAAAAUGACCAGUGAUUGUCGCUUUGACAGUGCAUUAUAAAACCUUUCAUUUAAACUUUUAGAUAUAAAGAUUUAUAGGCUGGAAAAAAACAAUGCCAAAAUAUCAAGUCAACCUUGAUAUUUUUGAAAAUGAUGUUUUAGUAUAAUUCUCAGAAAGGAUAAGCCUACCGAUUUAGAUGAGAUGUUGCUAUAUUGUACACUAAGUGUUCAAAACAUUAGGAACACCUGCUCUUUCCAUGACAUAGACUGACCAGGUGAAUCCAGAGGGUGAAUGGGCAAGACAAAAUAUUUAAGUGCCCUUGAACGGGGUAUGGUAGUAGCUGCUAGGCACACUGGUUUGAGUCAAGAACUGCAACGCUGCUGGGGAUUUCACACUCAACAGUUUCCCGUGUGUAUCAAGACGGUCCACCAUCCAAAGGACAUCCAGCCAACCAAUGAAUUGAGGCUGUUCUGCGGGUGCAACUCAAUAUUAGGAAGGUGUUCCUAAUGUUUUGUACACUCAUUGUAUACCAAACCUAGCUUGGUUUCUCAGGUUCUAUGUGGGGGAGUUUUUUAAUACAUAUCUUACAGGAAACCACCUAUUUAUAAUGAUAGAAUUGUAUGUCUUUCUCUUUUAAGUGUAUACUUGUUCAGAAUAUCUCAGAUUGAUGAUGUACUGCAUGUAAACAAAAACAUUUACAAUUGCAUUUGCAACAUUGCUGUUUUCCAACAAUAAAGAUUCCGAAACCUGUCUUUCUGUUGUUGUUGUUUAAAGUUAUUCUGACAUUUUCUGACUUGAAAAUGGAAACGCUUAGGAAUGGGAAUGGAAAUCAUACUUAUUGUUUUAAUCUAUGAGACUAUGACAAUUAUUUCACAAUAAAUACAGUAGAACACCAGUGGUAAUAGGGUUGGAAAAUAAAAUGUGAACUAUCCCUUUAAGUUAACACACAUAAUAUCAGCAAAACCUCCAAAAGGAUCCUGUUCACACACAUCGCAA